GUGCGCGACGAUUCGGGCGCCGCCGCCGGCGGCAGAGCUGAUCGACGAAACCGCCAAUAAUCUGCUCGCGCGACGCCGGGGAGAUCUCGAAAGAGGCGGUGCAGCAGCGGUGGCCAACGUGAUCAAAACCUACAUCGCUGAUAUCGCAACAAAUGGUGUCUACGGGACUCCGCGCCCUCAUCCCCUUCCCUCGCCUUCUUUAGCGGCGGGGCGACGCGGUGCCGUGGGGUUACCAGGUGGGCCGUGAGGGAGCUUCAGAGCUCCGCAGUGGCCGCCGCACCCUCGUCGUGCCCCUCGACCACCAUGCCUUCGUCCUCGGGAGCUGCCCCGAGUGCCCGCCUCGCUCCGCGCCGCGACGCCGCCGUCUGGGAUCAACGCCACGCAAUCCUAGGAGCAGAGGUAAAGACUAAGCGUGCCUUUUGCAAUCAAUUUGGCGGAAUUGGUUUGGUUUACCAGAAGUUGCAUGGAUGUGGAUGCAGUCUCACCUUUUGUUAGUUCUACAUAAGAUGUUUGUUUGUCAUGGCAAAAAACAAAAUGUAGACGGCAAUAGUAUCUUAUCUGAUGCAUACAACAAAUGUAGAUGGUAUUUUUCCUGCUUUUUUCUCUGAUUAGGAGUACAGUGUAAUGUCAUAACUAGGAUUUUGUUUGAGUUGGGCUAUUUUAUAUGUUCUGUUCUCAGGUGUACGUCUUUUUAUGAUAUGAUAUCUGCAGCUUCCAUACAUGUUGCUAUGAACUAGACACAGAUGAGGGCUCCAACACUACUGUACAAUCAUAUGAUAUCUGCAAUUUUUAGCUGCUGCGGGAUUUAUCCCCACAAUUGUGGCUGGGAAGACAACGAGUUUAUUUGAUUGAUUUAACAAGGAAAGAAUAAUGUAAAUCUCUUUAUCCAUCAGUAGUGCCAGCAGCUCACUAUAUUAGUGUACCCAAAAUCCCAAAUCUAAUUUCCCAGAUUCCACUAGAUGGAUGGCAACGCUUUGGUCCAUGUUAUGAGAGAAAUUGUUCAGGUCUGUGUAAUGUUACUGACAAGCACUGCAUGGACUGGAUGUAAAGUAUACUCCACUACAUCUAUGCUGAUGGCAAGAUGGACCUUUUUUUUCUUUUGAAAAGGAAGCUGGAGCACUGCUCAUUCAUUUAAGGAGGAAGCAAGCAUAGUUUUGCAGAUUUUCAUUACAUGGGAAGCUAAAAGAGCUCCAACCUGAUGAUUUGGAUGUGGAUUCAUUACCAUAGUUUUGGAAGCUGUUACUUUAUACUCCAGUGGGAGCUCAUAGUAUAAGUUUAUAGGAAAUGAAGUUUCUGUUCAGAUACAAAAAGUAGUGAACAGGACUUCCCUCUAAAAUGAACGGAACAUCCCAUCUUUCAUCUUUGUUGGGUUCAUUGUUUUCUCUUGUUAUCAAGACUCUCUUUACUGGCUUGCUUUACAGUUUUCUAAAUACUUUUGUAGCUACCAGAGACAGAAUCAUUUUAUUUGAUAUGUCUUAAGAACCAAAAGUUUUGCUCUCGAUCCACCAUAAUUCCGAAGUCUUACUCCUUUGGCUUAAAAAAAAUACUUUGAACUUUUAUUAUGAGAUGUGGAGCCAUCAGUUGCUGAAAUAAUUGAUAAACCACAGCAAUUAAUUUAUGUGACAGCCUCCGCUUCUGAUGUAAGUGAACAAGCAAUGAGAACAGCAGAACUCAAUGGAGGGACAAACUACUUUCCUCAAAUAGCUGCUUUAAUCCACAAGUUCAUUUUGUCUACCAAUUUGUUUCUCAUUUCCAUACACAUGAAAAUUAUGUUGGGACUUGGGUAACCAGAAAGAAAAAAUCGUUUGUGUAGAUUUCUCAAUUCAGACAAAACAAAACUGAACUUAGUUGGAUGCUCUCGUGCCAGUACAGUUGUUUAUAUAGACACUUCUGUAUAUCUGAUGCCAAUCUCAUUUCCAGAUAACAUGAAGCUAUAACAUUUUGGGUGCAUUGUUCUUGCCCUCCUGUCUUCAACCUGCCAUCGAGAUAGCAGUGACUUAUCCAGACGGAAGCAACUUCAUUGGCUGAGAUCAACAUGUGGACACGCUCUACAGAACCACCUCUGUGGUUCAGUUUACAGCCGAUUGCCUCGAGACUCAAGAGACCACCGAGUUUGUCAUAUAUUAGAGACUCCAAGCUGAGAGAUCACAGGGAUAGUGAUGGAAGGUGAUUGCUGAUACAAAUCUCAAGAGUAAAAGCGCAGAGUGCUAAUAUUUUUGCUGCUGGUUCCUGUAAGUUCACCCUGGAUCUCCAUUUCCUAACUUCAACCAAGCUCAUAAAUGAUUUCCAUUUGACAAAUGCUAGUUUGUUGUCUGCAAUUUUGCAUUAGUCAAUACAAUAUUGGCUUGUUUAUAGUUUGCAUUAGCCGAAUAGCUUGGUUAGCCUAGCGCUGCUUGAUUGUAUAUGCUGCACCCAAUCGCCCACCUUUUGUAGAGGUGCUGAUUCCUGGGGCCUUGCAGGAGUUGGAGGAAGAUACCUUGCACAGAGCUCUACGAUGAUCUCCACCAUGCACAUAUAUCAUUUGACGGAUGGGGCUACUGGGCAAGAAGGAUAUGCUGUGGCGCGGUUCUCCUUUGCUAGGGGUCAUUGCCCACCUUCCUAGGAUGUCGAAGUCCCAAGACUGCGACUUGUACAUGAACAGCACAAGGCACUACUGGGGCUUCCACGGUGAACAGCUCUGAAAGUCUGAACCAUUGAUCAUUCAUACAGCCGUGGGAUUCAGUGACAAGGAUUGGUCGCGUGGCUGUGCAGAGGUUGAUGUUGAGUGACGUGAGGUGGCAAUUUCGAUUAUGUGAACCAGCAGUGAGCCGUUGAUCUCGGAUAAUGGCUGAGCACACAAUCAAGCAGUUUUCGUUAUCACUGGAAAAGCACGGUUUAUUGACUUGUGAUGUCAAGCGCUUCAGAAAUUCUCAGACAAGACUGCCUACCUUGUGAUUGGAAACCAAAAGAUGC
rnacentral:lncRNA from 1 species